rnacentral:misc_RNA from 1 species
GCCAGCAACCUGCAGCGAUGCCAGGGCGGAAGAAAAUUCUUUGCAAGGCAGUGAAGAUGGAGAAUCAAGAUUGAGUAGUUCUGAGGAGGAGAUUGAAGGGUUUCCAAUGCCAGAGUUCAACAACAGAUUAUCUGUGUGCAGGUCAAGGAAGCCCAUGUUGGAAACUAUAAAAGAAGAACCAGUUCGUUCAAGAUGAGAUUAUUUUACGCACGUAGAGAAUUAAAUGACUCUUGUAUUCUUGAAUCUUUCUCUCAUAUUUCUUUACCAAAUAGAGAAAUUUCUUGGCUGAUAUAAAUAAAAUUUAAUUUCUUAACAUUUUAGCAUAUACAUGAGAAUAUUAAAUUUAAAGAUAUAUCAGCCAAGAAAUUUCUCUAUUUGG